rnacentral:rRNA from 1 species
CAGUCGCCACGGUAAUACGUAGGUCCCGAGCGUUGUCCGGAUUUAUUGGGCGUAAAGCGAGCGCAGGCGGUUAGAUAAGUCUGAAGUUAAAGGCUGUGGCUUAACCAUAGUACGCUUUGGAAACUGUUUAACUUGAGUGCAAGAGGGGAGAGUGGAAUUCCAUGUGUAGCGGUGAAAUGCGUAGAUAUAUGGAGGAACACCGGUGGCGAAAGCGGCUCUCUGGCUUGUAACUGACGCUGAGGCUCGAAAGCGUGGGGCGCAAACAGGAUUAGAUACCCCGGUAGUCCCUGUCUCUUAUACA